rnacentral:rRNA from 1 species
UACAGAGGGGGCAAGCGUUGUUCGGAAUUACUGGGCGUAAAGGGCGCGUAGGCGGCCAGACAAAGUCGAGCGUUAAAUUCCAGGGCUUAACCCUGGGCUGUUGCUCGAUACUAGUCGGCUAGAGUGUGGAAGAGGGUGCUGGAAUUCCCGGUGUAGCGGUGAAAUGCGUAGAUAUCGGGAGGAAUACCAGUGGCGAAGGCGGCUUCUUGGCCUAUUCUUGACGCUGAGGCGCGAAAGCUGGGGGAGCAAACGGG